UGGGGAAUCUUCCGCAAUGGGCGAAAGCCUGACGGAGCAACGCCGCGUGAGUGAAGAAGGCCUUCGGGUUGUAAAGCUCUGUCUUCAGGGAAGAAAGAAAUGACGGUACCUGAGGAGGAAGCCACGGCUAACUACGUGCCAGCAGCCGCGGUAAUACGUAGGUGGCAAGCGUUGUCCGGAAUUACUGGGCGUAAAGGGCGUGUAGGCGGAUUUUUAAGUCAGGUGUGAAAUCUCUGGGCUUAACCCGGAGUUUGCAUUUGAUACUGGGAGUCUUGAGUGCAGGAGAGGGCAGUGGAAUUCCGUAGUGUAGCGGUGAAAUGCGUAGAUAUUAGGAGGAACACCAGUGGCGAAGGCGACUGCCUGGACUGUAACUGACGCUGAGGCGCGAAAGCGUGGGGAGCA
rnacentral:rRNA from 1 species